GCGGGUGUAGUUAAGUGGUAUAACCUCAGCCUUCCAAGCUGAUGUCGAGAGUUCGAUUCUCUUCACCCGCUCCA
rnacentral:tRNA from 2 species